CGAGUCGGCAGGGCGGUCGCGUCGGCGGGGUCACCCGCCGCCGAGGAAAGUCCGGACUCCACAGGGCAGGGUGGUUGCUAACGGCAACCAGGGGCGACCUUCGGGACAGUGCCACAGAGAACAGACCGCCACCGGCGCUCGCGCCGGCGGUAAGGGUGAAACGGUGGUGUAAGAGACCACCAGCGCCCCCGGUGACGGGGGCGGCUAGGCAAACCCCACCCGGAGCAAGGCCAAGAGGGCGUCCCCCAGGGGGCGCCUGCGCAGGCGUUCGAGGGCUGCCCGCCCGAGCCUGCGGGUAGGCCGCACGAGCCCGGCGGCGACGUCGGGCCUAGAUGGAUGACCGCCCAGCGGUGCGCCGAGAGGCGCCCGUGGACAGGAUCCGGCUUACAAGCCGGCUCCUCCG
rfam:Actinosynnema mirum DSM 43827, complete genome.